UCCGGACGGGCGCCUAAUCCCGCCGCCGUACCGGAUGUCCGGUCGACGUUGUGGAUCGGCGGGAGCGGAGGACCCGAGCAGGACGGGGUCCCGGCCUGACGGCCGAGGGCUCCUUGGGGUGAAGCCGUACGCACGGCCGGGCAUCUUCGCCUGCCCGAACCCGACAGGUCUUCCUUCGCAGGCGGCUGACGAAGGGUUU
rnacentral:sRNA from 2 species